rnacentral:rRNA from 1 species
UGGGGAAUAUUGCACAAUGGGCGCAAGCCUGAUGCAGCCAUGCCGCGUGUAUGAAGAAGGCCUUCGGGUUGUAAAGUACUUUCAGCGGGGAGGAAGGCGAUAAGGUUAAUAACCUUGUCGAUUGACGUUACCCGCAGAAGAAGCACCGGCUAACUCCGUGCCAGCAGCCGCGGUAAUACGGAAGGUGCAAGCGUUAAUCGGAAUUACUGGGCGUAAAGCGCACGCAGGCGGUCUGUCAAGUCGGAUGUGAAAUCCCCGGGCUCAACCUGGGAACUGCAUUCGAAACUGGCAGGCUAGAGUCUUGUAGAGGGGGGUAGAAUUCCAGGUGUAGCGGUGAAAUGCGUAGAGAUCUGGAGGAAUACCGGUGGCGAAGGCGGCCCCCUGGACAAAGACUGACGCUCAGGUGCGAAAGCGUGGGGAGCAAACA